AGUCAGAGCCCGUUAAUGGGUGAUGGCGUGCCUUUUGUAGAAUGAACCGGCGAGUUACGAUUUGAUGCAAGGUUAAGCAGUAAAUGUGGAGCCGUAGCGAAAGCGAGUCUGAAUAGGGCGUUUAGUAUUUGGUCGUAGACCCGAAACCAGGUGAUCUACCCUUGGUCAGGUUGAAGUUCAGGUAACACUGAAUGGAGGACCGAACCGACUUACGUUGAAAAGUGAGCGGAUGAACUGAGGGUAGCGGAGAAAUUCCAAUCGAACCUGGAGAUAGCUGGUUCUCUCCGAAAUAGCUUUAGGGCUAGCCUCAAGUGAUGAUUAUUGGAGGUAGAGCACUGUUUGGACGAGGGGCCCCUCUCGGGUUACCGAAUUCAGACAAACUCCGAAUGCCAAUUAAUUUAACUUGGGAGUCAGAACAUGGGUGAUAAGGUCCGUGUUCGAAAGGGAAACAGCCCAGACCACCAGCUAAGGUCCCAAAAUAUAUGUUAAGUGGAAAAGGAUGUGGCGUUGCCCAGACAACUAGGAUGUUGGCUUAGAAGCAGCCAUCAUUUAAAGAGUGCGUAAUAGCUCACUAGUCGAGUGACACUGCGCCGAAAAUGUACCGGGGCUAAACAUAUUACCGAAGCUGUGGAUUGUCCUUUGGACAAUGGUAGGAGAGCGUUCUAAGGGCGUUGAAGCAUGAUCGUAAGGACAUGUGGAGCGCUUAGAAGUGAGAAUGCCGGUGUGAGUAGCGAAAGACGGGUGAGAAUCCCGUCCACCGAUUGACUAAGGUUUCCAGAGGAAGGCUCGUCCGCUCUGGGUUAGUCGGGUCCUAAGCUGAGGCCGACAGGCGUAGGCGAUGGAUAACAGGUUGAUAUUCCUGUACCACCUAUA
rnacentral:rRNA from 1 species